rnacentral:rRNA from 1 species
ACGAACGCUGGCGGCGUGCUUCACCCCUGCCAGUCGAACGGAAAGGCCCUGCUUGCAGGGUACUCGAGUGGCGAACGGGUGAGUAACACGUGGGUGAUCUGCCCUGCACUUCGGGAUAAGCCUGGGAAACUGGGUCUAAUACCGGAUAUGACCUUCCAUGUAGUGUGGGGGGUGGAAAGAUUUAUCGGUGUGGGAUGAGCCCGCGGCCUAUCAGCUUGUUGGUGGGGUAAUGGCCUACCAAGGCGUCGACGGGUAGCCGGCCUGAGAGGGUGGACGGCCACAUUGGGACUGAGAUACGGCCCAGACUCCUACGGGAGGCAGCAGUGGGGAAUAUUGCACAAUGGGCGGAAGCCUGAUGCAGCGACGCCGCGUGGGGGAUGACGGCCUUCGGGUUGUAAACCUCUUUCGACAGGGACGAAGCUUCGGUGACGGUACCUGUAUAAGAAGCACCGGCUAACUACGUG